rnacentral:rRNA from 1 species
AUUGAACGCUGGCGGCAGGCUUAACACAUGCAAGUCGAACGGCAGCACGGGAGCAAUCCUGGUGGCGAGUGGCGAACGGGUGAGUAAUAUAUCGGAACGUGCCCAGUAGUGGGGGAUAACUGCUCGAAAGAGCAGCUAAUACCGCAUACGACCUGAGGGUGAAAGGGGGGGAUCGCAAGACCUCUCGCUAUUGGAGCGGCCGAUAUCAGAUUAGCUAGGUGGUGGGGUAAAGGCCUACCAAGGCAACGAUCUGUAGUUGGUCUGAGAGGACGACCAGCCACACUGGGACUGAGACACGGCCCAGACUCCUACGGGAGGCAGCAGUGGGGAAUUUUGGACAAUGGGCGCAAGCCUGAUCCAGCAAUGCCGCGUGCAGGAAGAAGGCCUUCGGGUUGUAAACUGCUUUUGUCAGGGAAGAAAUCCUCUAGGUUAAUACCCUUGGGGGGAUGACGGUACCUGAAGAAUAAGCACCGGCUAACUACGUGCCAGCCGCCGCGGUAACAC